UCCUCGGUAGUAUAGUGGUGAGUACCCGCGUCAGAUCCGGGUUCAAAAUCCGCGUCAGACCCGGGUUCAAUUCCCGGCCGGGGAG